CCUACGGGAGGCAGCAGUGAGGAAUAUUGGGCAAUGGGCGAAAGCCUGACCCAGCAACGCCGCGUGAAGGAAGAAGGUCUUCGGAUUGUAAACUUCUUUUAUGAGGGACGAAGGACGUGACGGUACCUCAUGAAUAAGCCACGGCUAACUACGUGCCAGCAGCCGCGGUAAU
rnacentral:rRNA from 1 species